AACGAACGCUGGCGGCAGGCCUCAAACAUGCAAGUCUAGGGGGUGUAGCAAUACAUCACCGGCGGACGGGUGCGUAACGCGUGGGAAUAUACCUAUUGGUUCGGAACAACACAGGGAAACUUGUGCUAAUACCGAAUGUGCCCUUACGGGGAAAGAUUUAUCGCCAAUGGAUUAGCCCGCGUCCGAUUAGCUAGUUGGUGAGGUAACGGCUCACCAAGGCUCCGAUCGGUAGCUGUUCUGAGAGGAAGAUCAGCCACACUGGGACUGAGACACGGCCCAGACUCCUACGGGAGGCAGCAGUUGGGAAUCUUGGACAAUGGGGGGAAACCCUGAUCCAGCCAUGCCGCGUGAGUGAUGAAGGCCUCGGUUGU
rnacentral:rRNA from 1 species